UUUGGAACAGCUGAAUUCUGAAAACUACAGUAUUUAUAAACGAACUGCAGAGGCCGUUUAUUCAAUUGAAUGCACCUGUAACUUCCUGUCUGAUAUUGGGAAAGAGGGAGAGAAGAAUCUCUUAGAAUUAGUGGAGCUGGCAGACCAAGCCUUGCGUAGCUUUUCCUAUCAUCAGCAUUUCCCCCUAAUAAAGGAAAUCAUCAGCAUUUGUUCAAAGAUGUAAUAUUUUCUUUCUUAAUGUGAUUACGUUAUUAUUGGACACUUAGGGUGUGUGUAAACUUAGAAACAGUGAAAGUGAAACUGACUGUAUAUCUUUGUUAUUAUUUUUUAGUUUAAUUGCUUUUAUAUGUGUCUGAUUUUUAAAGGGUAUAUGUACAGCUGCAUUAGGAUACUUAACUGUUAUAUUCAAGAUUAAACUUCAA
rnacentral:lncRNA from 1 species